rnacentral:rRNA from 1 species
UUAAGCGACUAAGCGUACACGGUGGAUGCCCUGGCAGUCAGAGGCGAUGAAGGACGUGCUAAUCUGCGAUAAGCGUCGGUAAGGUGAUAUGAACCGUUAUAACCGGCGAUUUCCGAAUGGGGAAACCCAGUGUGUUUCGACACACUAUCAUUAACUGAAUCCAUAGGUUAAUGAGGCGAACCGGGGGAACUGAAACAUCUAAGUACCCCGAGGAAAAGAAAUCAACCGAGAUUCCCCCAGUAGCGGCGAGCGAACGGGAGCAGCCCAGAGCCUGAAUCAGUAUGUGUGUUAGUGGAAGCGUCUGGAAAGGCGCGCGAUACAGGGUGACAGCCCCGUACACAAAAAUGCACAUGCUGUGAGCUCGAUGAGUAGGGCGGGACACGUGGUAUCCUGUCUGAAUAUGGGGGGACCAUCCUCCAAGGCUAAAUACUCCUGACUGACCGAUAGUGAACCAGUACCGUGAGGGAAAGGCGAAAAGAACCCCGGCGAGGGGAGUGAAAAAGAACCUGAAACCGUGUACGUACAAGCAGUGGGAGCUCGCUUAGGCGUGUGACUGCGUACCUUUUGUAUAAUGGGUCAGCGACUUAUAUUCUGUAGCAAGGUUAACCGAAUAGGGGAGCCGAAGGGAAACCGAGUCUUAACUGGGCGUUAAGUUGCAGGGUAUAGACCCGAAACCCGGUGAUCUAGCCAUGGGCAGGUUGAAGGUUGGGUAACACUAACUGGAGGACCGAACCGACUAAUGUUGAAAAAUUAGCGGAUGACUUGUGGCUGGGGGUGAAAGGCCAAUCAAACCGGGAGAUAGCUGGUUCUCCCCGAAAGCUAUUUAGGUAGCGCCUCGUGAAUUCAUCUCCGGGGGUAGAGCACUGUUUCGGCAAGGGGGUCAUCCCGACUUACCAACCCGAUGCAAACUGCGAAUACCGGAGAAUGUUAUCACGGGAGACACACGGCGGGUGCUAACGUCCGUCGUGAAGAGGGAAACAACCCAGACCGCCAGCUAAGGUCCCAAAGUCAUGGUUAAGUGGGAAACGAUGUGGGAAGGCCCAGACAGCCAGGAUGUUGGCUUAGAAGCAGCCAUCAUUUAAAGAAAGCGUAAUAGCUCACUGGUCGAGUCGGCCUGCGCGGAAGAUGUAACGGGGCUAAACCAUGCACCGAAGCUGCGGCAGCGACGCUUAUGCGUUGUUGGGUAGGGGAGCGUUCUGUAAGCCUGCGAAGGUGUGCUGUGAGGCAUGCUGGAGGUAUCAGAAGUGCGAAUGCUGACAUAAGUAACGAUAAAGCGGGUGAAAAGCCCGCUCGCCGGAAGACCAAGGGUUCCUGUCCAACGUUAAUCGGGGCAGGGUGAGUCGACCCCUAAGGCGAGGCCGAAAGGCGUAGUCGAUGGGAAACAGGUUAAUAUUCCUGUACUUGGUGUUACUGCGAAGGGGGGACGGAGAAGGCUAUGUUGGCCGGGCGACGGUUGUCCCGGUUUAAGCGUGUAGGCUGGUUUUCCAGGCAAAUCCGGAAAAUCAAGGCUGAGGCGUGAUGACGAGGCACUACGGUGCUGAAGCAACAAAUGCCCUGCUUCCAGGAAAAGCCUCUAAGCAUCAGGUAACAUCAAAUCGUACCCAAACCGACACAGGUGGUCAGGUAGAGAAUACCAAGGCGCUUGAGAGAACUCGGGUGAAGGAACUAGGCAAAAUGGUGCCGUAACUUCGGGAGAAGGCACGCUGAUAUGUAGGUGAAGUCCCUCGCGGAUGGAGCUGAAAUCAGUCGAAGAUACCAGCUGGCUGCAACUGUUUAUUAAAAACACAGCACUGUGCAAACACGAAAGUGGACGUAUACGGUGUGACGCCUGCCCGGUGCCGGAAGGUUAAUUGAUGGGGUUAGCGCAAGCGAAGCUCUUGAUCGAAGCCCCGGUAAACGGCGGCCGUAACUAUAACGGUCCUAAGGUAGCGAAAUUCCUUGUCGGGUAAGUUCCGACCUGCACGAAUGGCGUAAUGAUGGCCAGGCUGUCUCCACCCGAGACUCAGUGAAAUUGAACUCGCUGUGAAGAUGCAGUGUACCCGCGGCAAGACGGAAAGACCCCGUGAACCUUUACUAUAGCUUGACACUGAACAUUGAGCCUUGAUGUGUAGGAUAGGUGGGAGGCUUUGAAGUGUGGACGCCAGUCUGCAUGGAGCCGACCUUGAAAUACCACCCUUUAAUGUUUGAUGUUCUAACGUUGACCCGUAAUCCGGGUUGCGGACAGUGUCUGGUGGGUAGUUUGACUGGGGCGGUCUCCUCCUAAAGAGUAACGGAGGAGCACGAAGGUUGGCUAAUCCUGGUCGGACAUCAGGAGGUUAGUGCAAUGGCAUAAGCCAGCUUGACUGCGAGCGUGACGGCGCGAGCAGGUGCGAAAGCAGGUCAUAGUGAUCCGGUGGUUCUGAAUGGAAGGGCCAUCGCUCAACGGAUAAAAGGUACUCCGGGGAUAACAGGCUGAUACCGCCCAAGAGUUCAUAUCGACGGCGGUGUUUGGCACCUCGAUGUCGGCUCAUCACAUCCUGGGGCUGAAGUAGGUCCCAAGGGUAUGGCUGUUCGCCAUUUAAAGUGGUACGCGAGCUGGGUUUAGAACGUCGUGAGACAGUUCGGUCCCUAUCUGCCGUGGGCGCUGGAGAACUGAGGGGGGCUGCUCCUAGUACGAGAGGACCGGAGUGGACGCAUCACUGGUGUUCGGGUUGUCAUGCCAAUGGCACUGCCCGGUAGCUAAAUGCGGAAGAGAUAAGUGCUGAAAGCAUCUAAGCACGAAACUUGCCCCGAGAUGAGUUCUCCCUGACUCCUUGAGAGUCCUGAAGGAACGUUGAAGACGACGACGUUGAUAGGCCGGGUGUGUAAGCGCAGCGAUGCGUUGAGCUAACCGGUACUAAUGAACCGUGAGGCUUAACCUU